UAUAGAGGGUGCGAGCGUUAAUCGGAAUUACUGGGCGUAAAGCGUGCGUAGACGGUUAUUUAAGUCGGAUGUGAAAGCCCCGGGCUCAACCUGGGAAUUGCAUUCGAGACUGAAUAGCUAGGGUGCGGUAGAGGGAAGCGGAAUUUCCGGUGUAGCGGUGAAAUGCGUAGAUAUCGGAAGGAACAUCAGUGGCGAAAGCGGCUUCCUGGACCAGCACCGACGUUCAGGCACGAAAGCGUGGGGAGCAAACAGG
rnacentral:rRNA from 1 species